GGGGCUGUAGCUCAGGGGGAGAGCGCUUGACUCACAUUCAAGAGGUCCCGAGUUCGAUCCUCGGCAGCCCCACCA
rnacentral:tRNA from 2 species